GUCAGUCAAAGAGAAGGAGCAUGGUGCAUGGUGUUUAUAACACCGACUGUGACCACUGCAGAGCAGAAACCUCAGUCGACUCACCACAUUAACCUUUAUGAUAGUGGAGGGAUACAAGUGACAAGACAGAUCAGAUCCAACCAUUACCUACAGCACUUUUGAAGCCAAAGAAUAAAUGUCUUAAAGAAGAAGAAAAUGUCUUAUGAACGAAUUCUGUCCAUUGAAAAUCUGAGUGACGUCCCAAAUCCAUGGAAGGGAUUCACUAUGAACCGCUGUAUAGUUCUGGCACUGGUGGUACUGCUUGUGAGCUCGGGGGUUAAUGAGCUGCAUGAUGCUAUGGAUGCUUUUGUUGAAGAGACGGGUAUAAGGUCUUUCAUUGGAAGUGUGCAGGAUGGAUCAAUAACUCAGAUUUCCUUAUGGGACAGUUUCAUGUGGUGGUGGGGAUCUGAAGAAGUUGGAGCGAUACGGAGAAGAAAAAAGCCAAUGAGCAGUAAAGUUGUCCUGAAACCCAAAAUUAAAGAGUGAUGCAGCUGUAUGAAGGACAAUAACAGAUGACAACAGCAACUGGUUUGUGAAUAAGGAAUACAGUCUCCAAUACACUUUGUAUUUAAUAAUAUAUGGGUGCAGAAUAUUACUUAUAAUCAGUUUUUAAAAUCACAAUAAUUAUUGGAUAAAGAAAAGACAUUUUUUUUUGUAAACAGAAUAAAAUGAUAAAACAAAUUGUCAACAUAUCUAAUGGUAGAAUUAUCUUGGUUUUAUUAAAUGAUAAUUUCUUAGUGUGUAGAACACUGCGCCUUGUGUGUAUACUGCAAAUAAUACAUUGUCUUUCUGUGUAAAAUAUGGAGCUUAAAGCAACCUCUGUGAAUAAACAUGUGCAUUUAAUAGCA